ensembl:lncRNA
CACGUAUUCCCCAAGGUGUCUACAGCAUUGUGACAUAUUUUUACGCAUUUCCAUUAAAGAAUAGCCGCAAGGGAGCAUAUUUAGCAAGUGGUCACAUGGUGUCUCCCGCAGAAAAUCUUGCGUAAAAUACUGAGGUAAGCCAUUUUUCCAAUCGCUUCUUAUAAGAAACCAAUUGCCUCGACGGAUAUAUUAUCAAAUAUAUAUGUUAAAAACACCUUGAGGAUGGAUCCUAAACAACGUUUGCCGUGUUUCUGUCGAUAUUAUGGAGCUAAUUUUGAAAAAAGUUUGGCGUUGUAGUGGUAGCAUUUUCCGGUCGAUUUCUCAGCCAAGCAUGAUGAACAAACUGGAGCUAUUUCACCUACAAAAAUAAUAUUUUGGGAAAAAAGGAACAUUUGCUAUCUAACUGGGAGUCUCCUGAGUGAAAACAUCCGAAGUUCUUCAAAGUUACUCACCCGGACCAUUUACCCCAUUCCCGCCUGGUCGUCGGAGGAUUCCCCUACCCCAUUGGAUCCACCUAUUUACUCCCAUCAACUCACCUCUGCUGCCCGCUACGCCACCUGGAUAUAUCUACCCAUUCACAUUCACUUGUAAAUAAAUACUCAC